CCUGUUUGAGUUACGCGUCCACCUGCCCGGUGAGAAUUAAACGGCUGCGUAAAUGUACUAAGGUAGCAUAAUAAUUCGUCUUUUAAUUGGAGACUGGUAUGAAUGGUUAGACGUGGGUUAACUGUCUCUUGGGGAUAGUGUUAAUUUUUCUUUUAAGUGAAAAGACUUAAGUUUUUGUAAAAGACGAGAAGACCCCGUCGAGUUUAAUUAAAUAGUAGAAUUGCUGUUUUACUUUGAAAGUUUGUUGGGGCAACAUAAGGUGAAAAAAAUCAUCUUAGAGAAAAAUGAGGACCUUUCUUGGAAAAACGCAGCAAAAACUACCGCGGGGAUAACAGCGUUAUCUUUCUUGAGAGAUCUUAUUGAGGGAAAGGUUUGCGACCUCGAUGUUGGAUUAGAGUUACUUUUUGGUGCAGCCGCUGUAAAAGUGAGACUGUUCGUCUUUUAAUUCUCUACAUGAUCUGAGUUCAGACCGGA
rnacentral:rRNA from 1 species